rnacentral:rRNA from 1 species
GAUGAACGCUGGCGGCGUGCCUAAUACAUGCAAGUCGAGCGAACGGACGAGAAGCUUGCUUCUCUGAUGUUAGCGGCGGACGGGUGAGUAACACGUGGAUAACCUACCUAUAAGACUGGGAUAACUUCGGGAAACCGGAGCUAAUACCGGAUAAUAUUUUGAACCGCAUGGUUCAAAAGUAAAAGACGGUCUUGCUGUCACUUAUAGAUGGAUCCGCGCUGCAUUAGCUAGUUGGUAAGGUAACGGCUUACCAAGGCAACGAUGCAUAGCCGACCUGAGAGGGUGAUCGGCCACACUGGAACUGAGACACGGUCCAGACUCCUACGGGAGGCAGCAGUAGGGAAUCUUCCGCAAUGGGCGAAAGCCUGACGGAGCAACGCCGCGUGAGUGAUGAAGGUCUUCGGAUCGUAAAACUCUGUUAUUAGGGAAGAAUAUAUGUGUAAGUAACUGUGCACAUCUUGACGGUACCUAAUCAGAAAGCCACGGCUAACUACGUGCCAGCAGCCGCGGUAAUACGUAGGUGGCAAGCGUUAUCCGGAAUUAUUGGGCGUAAGCGCGCGUAGGCGGUUUUUUAAGUCUGAUGUGAAAGCCCACGGCUCAACCGUGGAGGGUCAUUGGAAACUGGAAAACUUGAGUGCAGAAGAGGAAAGUGGAAUUCCAUGUGUAGCGGUGAAAUGCGCAGAGAUAUGGAGGAACACCAGUGGCGAAGGCGACUUUCUGGUCUGUAACUGACGCUGAUGUGCGAAAGCGUGGGGAUCAAACAGGAUUAGAUACCCUGGUAGUCCACGCCGUAAACGAUGAGUGCUAAGUGUUAGGGGGUUUCCGCCCCUUAGUGCUGCAGCUAACGCAUUAAGCACUCCGCCUGGGGAGUACGACCGCAAGGUUGAAACUCAAAGGAAUUGACGGGGACCCGCACAAGCGGUGGAGCAUGUGGUUUAAUUCGAAGCAACGCGAAGAACCUUACCAAAUCUUGACAUCCUUUGACAACUCUAGAGAUAGAGCCUUCCCCUUCGGGGGACAAAGUGACAGGUGGUGCAUGGUUGUCGUCAGCUCGUGUCGUGAGAUGUUGGGUUAAGUCCCGCAACGAGCGCAACCCUUAAGCUUAGUUGCCAUCAUUAAGUUGGGCACUCUAAGUUGACUGCCGGUGACAAACCGGAGGAAGGUGGGGAUGACGUCAAAUCAUCAUGCCCCUUAUGAUUUGGGCUACACACGUGCUACAAUGGACAAUACAAAGGGCAGCGAAACCGCGAGGUCAAGCAAAUCCCAUAAAGUUGUUCUCAGUUCGGAUUGUAGUCUGCAACUCGACUACAUGAAGCUGGAAUCGCUAGUAAUCGUAGAUCAGCAUGCUACGGUGAAUACGUUCCCGGGUCU